rnacentral:lncRNA from 1 species
GAUUACGAGCGGAAGUUUGAUAGACUCUCAAGGUAUGCUCCACAUCUGGUUGACAUGGAAAUUAAGAAAACUCGAAGAUUCGAGCAAGGGUUAAACCCAGACCUAAGUAUGAUCCUUAUGUCACACCACUUUACGUCGUACCGUGAGAUGCUGGAACGAGCUCACGCUAUCUGGUAUCAAAAGGCUAAUGCAGAGCAACAUCGUCAAUUGUAC